UACGUAGGGUGCAAGCGUUAAUCGGAAUUACUGGGCGUAAAGCGUGCGCAGGCGGUCGUGCAAGACAGAUGUGAAAUCCCCAGGCUUAACCUGGGAACUGCAUUCGAGACUGCAUUGCUAGAGUAUGGGAGAGGGAAGUGGAAUUUCCGGUGUAGCGGUGAAAUGCGUAGAUAUCGGAAGGAACAUCAGUGGCGAAAGCGACUUCCUGGACCAAUACUGACGCUCAUGUGCGAAAGCGUGGGGAGCAAACAGG
rnacentral:rRNA from 1 species